ACGAACGCUGGCGGCGUGCCUAAUACAUGCAAGUAGAACGCUGAAGAGAGGAGCUUGCUCUUCUUGGAUGAGUUGCGAACGGGUGAGUAACGCGUAGGUAACCUGCCUUGUAGCGGGGGAUAACUAUUGGAAACGAUAGCUAAUACCGCAUAACAAUGGAUGACACAUGUCAUUUAUUUGAAAGGGGCAAUUGCUCCACUACAAGAUGGACCUGCGUUGUAUUAGCUAGUAGGUGAGGUAACGGCUCACCUAGGCGACGAUACAUAGCCGACCUGAGAGGGUGAUCGGCCACACUGGGACUGAGACACGGCCCAGACUCCUACGGGAGGCAGCAGUAGGGAAUCUUCGGCAAUGGGGGCAACCCUGACCGAGCAACGCCGCGUGAGUGAAGAAGGUUUUCGGAUCGUAAAGCUCUGUUGUAAGUCAAGAACGAGUGUGAGAGUGGAAAAUUCACACUGUGACGGUAGCUUACCAGAAAGGGACGGCUAACUACGUGCCAGCAGCCGCGGUAAUACGUAGGUCCCGAGCGUUGUCCGGAUUUAUUGGGCGUAAAGCGAGCGCAGGCGGUUUGAUAAGUCUGAAGUUAAAGGCUGUGGCUCAACCAUAGUUCGCUUUGGAAACUGUCAAACUUGAGUGCAGAAGGGGAGAGUGGAAUUCCAUGUGUAGCGGUGAAAUGCGUAGAUAUAUGGAGGAACACCGGUGGCGAAAGCGGCUCUCUGGUCUGUAACUGACGCUGAGGCUCGAAAGCGUGGGGAGCGAACAGGAUUAGAUACCCUGGUAGUCCACGCCGUAAACGAUGAGUGCUAGGUGUUGGAUCCUUUCCGGGAUUCAGUGCCGCAGCUAACGCAUUAAGCACUCCGCCUGGGGGGUACGACCGCAAGGUUGAAACUCAAAGGAAUUGACGGGGGCCCGCACAAGCGGUGGAGCAUGUGGUUUAAUUCGAAGCAACGCGAAGAACCUUACCAGGUCUUGACAUCCCGAUGCUAUUUCUAGAGAUAGAAAGUUACUUCGGUACAUCGGUGACAGGUGGUGCAUGGUUGUCGUCAGCUCGUGUCGUGAGAUGUUGGGUUAAGUCCCGCAACGAGCGCAACCCCUAUUGUUAGUUGCCAUCAUUCAGUUGGGCACUCUAGCGAGACUGCCGGUAAUAAACCGGAGGAAGGUGGGGAUGACGUCAAAUCAUCAUGCCCCUUAUGACCUGGGCUACACACGUGCUACAAUGGUUGGUACAACGAGUUGCGAGUCGGUGACGGCAAGCUAAUCUCUUAAAGCCAAUCUCAGUUCGGAUUGUAGGCUGCAACUCGCCUACAUGAAGUCGGAAUCGCUAGUAAUCGCGGAUCAGCACGCCGCGGUGAAUACGUUCCCGGGCCUUGUACACACCGCCCGUCACACCACGAGAGUUUGUAACACCCGAAGUCGGUGAGGUAACCUUUUGGAGCCAGCCGCCUAAGGUGGGAUAGAUGAUUGGGGUG
rnacentral:rRNA from 1 species